rnacentral:rRNA from 1 species
GACGAACGCUGGCGGCGUGCUUAACACAUGCAAGUCGAACGGAAAGGCCCUGCUUUUGUGGGGUGCUCGAGUGGCGAACGGGUGAGUAACACGUGAGCAACCUGCCCCUGACUUUGGGAUAACUUCAGGAAACUGGGGCUAAUACCGGAUAGGAGCUCCUGCUGCAUGGUGGGGGUUGGAAAGUUUCGGCGGUUGGGGAUGGACUCGCGGCUUAUCAGCUUGUUGGUGGGGUAGUGGCUUACCAAGGCUUUGACGGGUAGCCGGCCUGAGAGGGUGACCGGCAACAUUGGGACUGAGAUACGGCCCAGACUCCUACGGGAGGCAGCAGUGGGGAAUAUUGCACAAUGGGCGGAAGCCUGAUGCAGCAACGCCGCGUGCGGGAUGACGGCCUUCGGGUUGUAAACCGCUUUCGCCUGUGACGAAGCGUGAGUGACGGUAAUGGGUAAAGAAGCACCGGCUAACUACGUG